rnacentral:lncRNA from 1 species
CCAGUACUACACAUGUUUGGUACAGAAAUAGUACCUAUUUUAAAGUAGAUGUGUACACUAUACGUUUAUCAAGUCAUGUUAUCUGUUAACCGGUAUUUGCAUAGUUCAUUGUAUGAUAGAGAUUAUGUCAUGUGUCACUUAACCUAUCAAUAUAUAGUUUAAUAUAGUGCGGGAAGCUUACAUAUUCAAAGUUCUAUUGUUUAUUCAUUCAUUACUUUUAUAACUCUGAUAUAUCAUCCUAUACUUGUCUAUUUUAAGAAAUCUAAUUAAAUAUAUACAAUUGUAUUAUUGUAACUAAGUCGUUCGGCAUUAUGCAUGUUAGUUUAUAAGUAUUUAUUUCCGUAUUUUUCUAUUUGUUGCAGGUUUGGGAUAUAGAAGAUAUGUGCAGUAUAACCGUUCCAUGAGUACGACGGUAGACACGGCGGCUGUGUGAUUUGUUCUAUGAAGAAAGGAAAACAAAUUUGGAAGAAAGCCUUUGCAGAUAAAACAUGUGUCUUAAACAUACUCAAUUUUUACAAGUUGUCUUUGCUUGGGUCAAUAUGGCAUUCCAGUUUUUCGAUUGUUUGACAUAUUGUGAAUUUAGAUUCAAUUGGAAUAACCAAAC